rnacentral:rRNA from 1 species
CAGUCGCCGCGGUAAUACGUAGGUCCCGAGCGUUGUCCGGAUUUAUUGGGCGUAAAGGGCUCGCAGGCGGUUUCUUAAGUCUGAUGUGAAAGCCCCCGGCUCAACCGGGGAGGGUCAUUGGAAACUGGGAAACUUGAGUGCAGAAGAGGAGAGUGGAAUUCCACGUGUAGCGGUGAAAUGCGUAGAGAUGUGGAGGAACACCAACGGCGAAAGCACUCUGCUGGGCCGACACUGACACUGAGAGACGAAAGCUAGGGGAGCAAAUGGGAUUAGAGACCCCGGUAGUCCCUGUCUCUUAUAC